rnacentral:tRNA from 1 species
UAAUAAGAAGCAAUUCAUGCACUCAGUUUCGACCUGAACUUAGAUGAAUCAAAAUCAUCCUUAUUUA